CCUACGGGUGGCAGCAGUGAGGAAUAUUGGUCAAUGGGCGCAAGCCUGAACCAGCCAAGUAGCGUGCAGGAUGACGGCCCUACGGGUUGUAAACUUCUUUUAUACGGGAAUAACGUGCCUUACGUGUACGGCUUUGCAUGUACCGUAUGAAUAAGGACCGGCUAAUUCCGUGCCAGCAGCCGCGGUAAUACGGAAGAUCCGGGCGUUAUCCGGAUUUAUUGGGUUUAAAGGGAGCGUAGGCCGCAUGUUAAGCGGGCUGUGAAAGGUUCGGGCUCAACCCUGGCCUUGCAGUGGAAACUGGCAUGCUUGAGUCCGGGGGAGGCAGGCGGAAUUCGUGGUGUAGCGGUGAAAUGCUUAGAUAUGACGAAGAACUCCGAUUGCGAAGGCAGCUUGCUGGAGCGGAACUGACGCUGAUGCUCGAAAGCGCGGGUAUCGAACAGGAUUAGAUACCCGGGUAGUC
rnacentral:rRNA from 1 species